AUCAUUACCGAGUGCGGGCCCUCCGGGUCCAACCUCCCACCCGUGUCUACCGUACCUUGUUGCUUCGGCGGGCCCGCCAUCACGGCCGCCGGGGGGCGCUCUGCCCCCGGGCCCGCGCCCGCCGAAGACCCCCUCUCGAACGCUGUGUGAAGGUUGCAGUCUGAGUGGAUUAGCUAAAUCGGUUAAAACUUUCAACAACGGAUCUCUUGGUUCCGGCAUCGAUGAAGAACGCAGCGAAAUGCGAUAAGUAAUGUGAAUUGCAGAAUUCAGUGAAUCAUCGAGUCUUUGAACGCACAUUGCGCCCCCUGGUAUUCCGGGGGGCAUGCCUGUCCGAGCGUCAUUGCUGCCCUCAAGCACGGCUUGUGUGUUGGGCCGCCGUCCCCCUCCUGCCCGGGGGACGGGCCCGAAAGGCAGCGGCGGCGCCGCGUCCGGUCCUCGAGCGUAUGGGGCUUCGUCACCCGCUCCGUAGGCCCGGCCGGCGCCCGCCGACCACCCAACCCCUUUUCUCCAGGUUGACCUCGGAUCAGGUAGGGAUACCCGCUGAACUUAAGCAUAUCAAUAAGCGGAGGAAAAGAAACCAACAGGGAUUGCCCCAGUAACGGCGAGUGAAGCGGCAAGAGCUCAAAUUUGAAAGCUGGCCCCCUCGGGGUCCGCGUUGUAAUUUGCAGAGGAUGCUUCGGGAGCGGCCCCCGUCUAAGUGCCCUGGAACGGGCCGUCAUAGAGGGUGAGAAUCCCGUCUGGGACGGGGUGUCCGCGCCCGUGUGAAGCUCCUUCGACGAGUCGAGUUGUUUGGGAAUGCAGCUCUAAAUGGGUGGUAAAUUUCAUCUAAAGCUAAAUAUUGGCCGGAGACCGAUAGCGCACAAGUAGAGUGAUCGAAAGAUGAAAAGCACUUUGAAAAGAGAGUUAAACAGCACGUGAAAUUGUUGAAAGGGAAGCGCUUGCGACCAGACUCGCCCGCGGGGUUCAGCCGGCAUUCGUGCCGGUGUACUUCCCCGCGGGCGGGCCAGCGUCGGUUUGGGCGGCCGGUCAAAGGCCCCCGGAAUGUAACGCCUCUCGGGGCGUCUUAUAGCCGGGGGUGCAAUGCGGCCUGCCUGGA
rnacentral:rRNA from 1 species